rnacentral:rRNA from 1 species
GAUGAACGCUGGCGGCGUGCCUAAUACAUGCAAGUCGAGCGAACGGACGAGAAGCUUGCUUCUCUGAUGUUAGCGGCGGACGGGUGAGUAACACGUGGAUAACCUACCUAUAAGACUGGGAUAACUUCGGGAAACCGUAGCUAAUACCGGAUAAUAUUUUGAACCGCAUGGUUCAAAAGUGAAAGACGGUCUUGCUGUCACUUAUAGAUGGAUCCGCGCUGCAUUAGCUAGUUGGUAUGGUAACGGCUUACCAAGGCAACGAUGCAUAGCCGACCUGAGAGGGUGAUCGGCCACACUGGAACUGAGACACGGUCCAGACUCCUAUGGGAGGCAGCAGUAGGGAAUCUUCCGCAAUGGGCGAAAGCCUGACGGAGCAACGCCGCGUGAGUGAUGAAGGUCUUCGGAUCGUAAAACUCUGUUAUUAGGGAAGAACAUAUGUGUAAGUAACUGUGCACAUCUUGACGGUACCUAAUCAGAAAGCCACGGCCAACUACGUG